GGAGUUUUUAGCCUUUUAACAUUCAAGGAUUAGGUAAGUUCUCCCCGCGGUAGACUUCAAAUACUCUUUGUCCUGCCCCUGCUUGGCGAAAUUUACCGAAAUUAUCUACCUAUCCCGCUGGAGUGGGAGCCGGGGGAGAGCUGGAACCGCGUCUCUGCUGCUCACCUUUGUGUCCUUAGCUCCUUCGCAUGGGGUCCGACCGCAACACGUGCGCUGGAUAAACGCUUGUUAACUGGGUGAGAGCCAAGGCCUGUUCUUUCCACUUCUGGGGCUGUGACUUGAGUUUCUCCGCAGGAGCAGAUAGUGUUUGUGUAGGGACUGCGGACUUUUGCAUUACAGCCUCCCUGCUUUGCCCGCCUGCUGCUGGAAGCUUAGCAGGUGAGGAAAGAGGACUUCCUGUAUAUCUCUAUCCUUUUGUUUCCAUUACUCACUUUCUGUGGCUGCUGCUGCAGAAGCCACUGCUGACUGAUGUGGAUACCUCAAUCUUUGGUUUACAAAAAGCCUAGGUGUCUUUUGGCCUCUCUCCAGGUUGAUAGCCAUGGCUCCUGAAAGAAAUAAAAGAUGAUCAUCUUUCUA
rnacentral:lncRNA from 10 species